ensembl:lincRNA
AUGGUUUAACCUUGAAAUAUUUUGAUUUAUGUAUGUAAAAUUUUCCAAGCUUAAGGAUGUUGUUGAUUAGGAAGGCAUCUUCUUUACUGUCCAUUGCAAGUCCAUAAAUUAUGUCAUUCACAUUAAAAAUCCUUAGGCGUGGAAUCUUUGGGUAAAGCCAGUCAUAAACAUCUGACCAUAAUGCAUCCACAAACAUACAGUGAUGGUGGGUUAUUUCUGUGCCGCUGUGUGUGUGUGUGUGUGUGUGUGUGUAUGUGUGUGUGUGUCUCUCCCGUCCAGUUCUCUUCGUUUCCAGCUCGCCCUGCCCUAAUUGGACGUGCGCGUGCGCUGUGAUUGGUGCUUGGAGACCGCAUCUUUUGAAAAGACGUUUCAGACCUUUAACUGUUCUGCAUCUUGGGUUUCCAGUCCUCUUCCGCCAUUAGUUCGUCACUUUCAACGAUCGUUUCGAAGGAAAGAUUCACUUCUGCUGGAUAUAAAGAUGCAAACCAACAACGUUGUCAGAGUGAAGUUCAGAGAACGGAGGAUCACAUUUCACUCAUUUUUGGAAAGUGGAUGCAAACCAACAAUGCUUUCAAAGUGAAGUUCAGAGAACGGAAGAUGACAUUUCACUCAUUUUUGGAAAGUGGUUGGGACAGUGAUAUGUCAUUGAUCCUGAUACUGGUUAUCUAUGAUGCCUUUGAUUGCCUUGUGAAAUUCAUCAAGAUAAAGCAGAAUGGUACCAGUAUUCAAGGGCAUCUGGAUAGCAUCAGAGAGAGUCUCCAGCCAUAUCUUCUUGCAGCUGGGUCAAAGAAAAGUAGGGUCCAUUCUUGGUUUAUUAUAAUUUACCAACAUGUUCUACCCUGUCAGGCUUAUGCUUGAACUAUUGUUACUCGCUUUAUAUAGGUAUAGGCCAAUCCUAGGCUUCUUACUGGAAACCAUAAAUUUGAACACAUCCCCUCCUGUGCUCCUUUUAGAAUGGAGUUCAGAAUUUUACUGUAUGUUUUUAAGGUAAUAAAUGGUCAGGCACCACCUUAUCUCUCUAAACUUAUUAAUGUUAAAUUAUCUGGCUGAUGUUUAAAGACGUCAAACCAGAAAAUGUUUUACUAAAAAAAACUAUUACUUUAACAACCAUAGCUUCUACUUCAAUCGCUACUUCCACUACUACAACAGUGACAGCAACCUAAAUAUUGACAAUGGUAAAAAUACUUAUGAUAAUGAAGAAAUAAAAGGAAGACAAGGCAAAACAGUAAUACUAAUAAUGGUAACAAAAGUAGAAGUAAUGCAUUUAAUGAUGAUAGUGAGGAGGCGAGGGGAGGUUGGGAAAUCAGGAACAAGACAAAUAAUAAUAAUACUAAUACUACUACUACUACUACUACUACUACUACUACUACUACUAAUAAUAAUAAUUAUAAUAAUAACAACAACAAUAAUAAUAAUAAUAAAUAUAAUAUAAUAUUAACAAUAAUAAUAAUAAUAAUAAUAAGAAGAAGAAGAAGAAGAAGAAAAAGAAGUAGAAGAAUCUAGAAGAAGAAAAUAAAAGAAUGAGGAAAAAAGGAAUAAAUAGAAAUGAAAGGGGAGGAAAAAAUAGAAAGUAGAAAAAGAACAAGAUAGGAAAAAAAGUAGAAAAAUAAAGUGCAGCAGAAAAAAUAAUGAGAAUAAUAAUAAAGAAACCAUUACUAUAAUAAUGAUAAUAUACAAAUAAUAAGAACCAUGUAAAGAAUAAAAUUGAUAAGAAAAGUAACACGAAAAGAAUAAAUAUACACAUAAAUAAUUAUUAAAUUCAAUAAAUAGAUAAUAUUGAAAAAGGAUGGAAGAUCAAGAGGUGGACAGAUACAUGUGACAACUAUAAAACCAUAAUAUACUCAUGUUGAUAAUAAUAAUAAUAAUAAUAAUAAUAAAACAACAGAAUUAAUAGUAAUUUAAAUUGGAAGUUAUACUGUGUGUAUAGUGUGUCAUUUGCUUUGUGAUGCUUUAAAAAAGUAUGACGUGCGGCAUGGAUCGGUCCAGUGCAAUGCCCAGGCUGUAGGGCUGUAACGAUACACCAAACCCACGAUUCAGUUCGUAUCACGAUUUUUGACCCACGAUUCGGUUCGUAUCACGAUUUUUUAUUUUUUUUUUCGUGUGGGGUGGGAAAAAAAAAGAUUUUUAAAACUAUUUUUUAUUAAAUAACAUUGGAAAAAUUUUUAUAAACUAAACAUCAAAGAACAAUAUUAACUAUGCAAAUUAUUAACAAUAUAAAUAGCCAUAUAUAAAAUAAAUAAAUAA